UACGUAGGGGGCAAGCGUUGUCCGGAAUUAUUGGGCGUAAAGAGCGUGUAGGCGGUCCGGUAAGUCAGCUGUGAAAGUCAAGGGCUCAACCCUUGAAAGCCGGUUGAUACUGUCGGGCUAGAGUCCGGAAGAGGCGAGUGGAAUUCCCGGUGUAGCGGUGAAAUGCGCAGAUAUCAGGAGGAACACCGGUGGCGAAGGCGGGUCUCUGGGCAGUAACUGACGCUGAGGAGCGAAAGCGUGGGGAGCGAACAGG
rnacentral:rRNA from 1 species